rnacentral:rRNA from 1 species
GCUCGAGUGGCGAACGGGUGAGUAACACGUGAGUAACCUGCCCUUGACUUUGGGAUAACUUCAGGAAACUGGGGCUAAUACCGGAUAGGAGCUCCUGCUGCAUGGUGGGGGUUGGAAAGUUUCGGCGGUUGGGGAUGGACUCGCGGCUUAUCAGCUUGUUGGUGGGGUAGUGGCUUACCAAGGCUUUGACGGGUAGCCGGCCUGAGAGGGUGACCGGCCACAUUGGGACUGAGAUACGGCCAG